rnacentral:rRNA from 1 species
CAUCCAUGGAUCAAAUUAUUUCGUGAAUUAGAUUUCACUUGCUUGUCUACGGUUCCCUUGCAUGUGCUCGGGAUAGGUGUUUUGUAUUUAACUUAA